AGGUACAUAGAUUUUCAAAUUGCAAAAGCGUAUGGAAGGGCAAACAGUCCUUAUAGACCUUUAUGGCUGCAUCAAAGCAGUUGUACCACAUCAUGAUGUGUUCGUUAGAAGCAAAAACAAAAUGGAAACAAAAUGUGAAAUCACUUUGGAAAAUAUGAGUAGAGAAGAUGUGAAGAUAACUCUUUGGGGGAUACUACAAGAGAGUUCGAUCUGGAUGCAAUUUACAAUUUGCCUCCACCAGUACUAGCAAACAACCAACUCCAUCGAGCACAAAUCACAGCUGCAUAAUCAUUGAUCCAGACAUUGGCCAAAGAGAAGACUACGAGGAAGAAUUCUCAAAAGCAGGGGAUAAGCGGAAGUUGCUACCAACUCCAUCCAAGCAACCACUCCACCAAGAAGCCAAAGAUCAUGCAAAAAAAACAGCGUCACGGCUCAAUACCGUUAAUCUGCAUGAAUACCAGGUACAAACAAGAUUUGUUUUUCCUCCAACUUUAUUGUUUUGCUUCAACAUGCUUUAUAAAUGCAGCUAUAUUUUAAGACUGUACACAUUGCAACAACAAGCGCUUUACUGCAAUGCAUGGAUUUGUAGAUUUCCUACAUACAACAGUUGUUGGUGGUACAAAGGUUGCCUGACCUGCCGCAAGGAACUCAAGCAAAAAGAAGAUACUAAUCAGCUCAGCUGUAGUCGUCAUAACGUACAAACGCCUCUCCCAUGUUACAGAGUAUACAUGACAAUUGAGAAUGAUACAAACCAAGCAACAGUUGUGCUCAUGAGAAGACAGGCUGAACAGUUAUUUGGCAGCAAAUGUCAGGACUUGGUCAACAACAGCAUGUAUUCAACCAAACAAACAGUUCCAAAGGAAAUUCAGAGAACAAUUGGUGAAAACUACCUGACCCAGAAGAAGUGAUUGUCAGUAACAUUUUUCCAGCUACACAAGUUUCCCUGCCAUAAACAGAAGAACCAGGAACUGCAACACCAGAUCGUCCCCUCACUAAAGAAAAAAAAGAUCAAUUGAGGCAAGCAAAAGGACAUUAUUCAUUUCUGACCCAGAGAAGAAAAUCAGGAGGGAACCAGAACAAGGAAGCGCCACUUCAUCAUCACUGGCAAAAGAAGAACAUAACAAGGAAAACGAGCAGUAAACAUGCAUCACUCUUUUGUACAUAUGUAACUAACAAGUAGAAAAUGCAUUGACUACAAAUUUUGGUAUAACUGUAGUCAACUAAUCAACUGAAGCAUUUUGUACACUGGAAUAACCAAUUUUUGAAACAGCUUCCAGUAUAACCUUUUGUAAACAAACUUCAGUUGAUUCAACAGCUAUAACUAAA